CCUACGGGUGACAGCAGUGGGGAAUAUUGCACAAUGGGGGAAACCCUGAUGCAGCAACGCCGCGUGAGUGAAGAAGGAUUUCGGUAUGUACAGCGCUAUCAGCAGGGAAGAAGAUGACGGUACCUGUAUCAGAAGUCCCGGAUAACUACGUGCCCGCAGCCGCGGUAAUACGUAGGGGGCAAGCGGUAUUCGGAUUUACUGGGUGUAAAGGGAGCGAAGACGGCAGUGCAAGGCUGGAGUGAAAGCCCGGGGCCAAACCCCGGAACCGCUCUGGAAACUGUGCGUCUAGAGUACUGGAGGGGCAGGCGGAAUUCCUGGUGUAGCGGUGAAAUGCGUAGAUAUUAGGAGGAACACCAGUGGCGAAGGCGGCCUGCUGUACAGUAACUGACGUUGAGGCUCGAAAGCGUGGGGAGCAAACAGGAUUAGAUACCCCAGUAGUC
rnacentral:rRNA from 1 species